UGGAGAAGAAUUUGUAAGUCACUCUGGAUAAGAGCGUCUGCUAAAUGACGUAAC
rfam:Salmo salar isolate Sally breed double haploid chromosome ssa17, whole genome shotgun sequence.